rnacentral:rRNA from 1 species
UGAGGAAUAUUGGUCAAUGGGCGAGAGCCUGAACCAGCCAAGUAGCGUGAAGGAUGACGGUUCUAUGGAUUGUAAACUUCUUUUAUAAGGGAAUAACAGGCGCUACGUGUAGCGUUUUGCAUGUACCUUAUGAAUAAGCAUCGGCUAACUCCGUGCCAGCAGCCGCGGUAAUACGGAGGAUGCGAGCGUUAUCCGGAUUUAUUGGGUUUAAAGGGAGCGUAGACGGGAUGUUAAGUCAGCUGUGAAAGUUUGGGGCUCAACCUUAAAAUUGCAGUUGAAACUGGCAUUCUUGAGUGCGGCAGAGGCAGGCGGAAUUCGUGGUGUAGCGGUGAAAUGCUUAGAUAUCACGAAGAACUCCGAUUGCGAAGGCAGCUUGCUGGAGCGUAACUGACGUUGAUGCUCGAAAGUGUGGGUAUCAAACAGG